rnacentral:rRNA from 1 species
UACAGAGGGUGCGAGCGUUGUUCGGAAUUAUUGGGCGUAAAGGGCGCGUAGGCGGUGCGGUAAGUCACCUGUGAAAUCUCCUGGCUCAACUGGGAGCUUGCAGGCGAAACUGCCGUGCUGGAGUGUGGGAGAGGUGCGUGGAAUUCCUGGUGUAGCGGUGAAAUGCGUAGAUAUCAGGAGGAACACCUGUGGCGAAAGCGGCUCACUGGACCAUAACUGACGCUGAGGCACGAAAGCUAGGGGAGCAAACAGG